GUAAAUUCCAUAGUGUUAAAUAUGCAGUGUCAAAGUACAUUGACUCUUACAGAGUUAUUACUACAACAGUUGGAGUAAGAUACCGCCCAGUGUUGGUGAAAAAGUACGUUGUUAAAAGACGCAGUGUCAGACGUACUCUGGAAAGCUCCGCCCACCUACGACUCGUCUCAAACGGACCACACAUUUUCACGGCGCCAUUUUCUUCAUGUGGAAUGACUGCGGGAGCAUGCUGCUUAAAGCUAAACUUGGAGAUGUCCAAAAAUUUGUCAGAAUAACUGAGCCAAAUCUGAAAGACUUUUUGAUUGCAGCAUUUGCAAAGUUUGGUGUCCCAGCUGUAACAGAAGGUGUGAAAAUUGUUGACAGUUCAGGGACUGAAUUGGAUGAUGAUGUUUUUGAGGAUAUUAUAAAGGAU